UUGGGAAUUUUGGACAAUGGGCGCAAGCCUGAUCCAGCAAUGCCGCGUGCAGGAUGAAGGCCUUCGGGUUGUAACUGCUUUUGUACGGAACGAAAAAGCUCUCUCUAAUACAGGGGGUGAAUGACGGUACCGUAAGAAUAAGCACCGGCUAACUACAUGCCAGCAGCUGCGGUAAUACGUAGGGUGCAAGCGUUAAUCGGAAUUACUGGGCGUAAAGCGUGCGCAGGCGGUUUUGUAAGACAGAGGUGAAAUCCCCGGGCUCAACCUGGGAACUGCCUUUGUGACUGCAAAGCUGGAGUGCGGCAGAGGGGGAUGGAAUUCCGCGUGUAGCAGUGAAAUGCGUAGAUAUGCGGAGGAACACCGAUGGCGAAGGCAAUCCCCUGGGCCUGCACUGACGCUCAUGCACGAAAGCGUGGGGAGCAAACA
rnacentral:rRNA from 1 species